rnacentral:sRNA from 1 species
GUGCGCCGGUCCCUGGGCCUGAGCUCCGGCUCCGGCUGGGGCGCCUGCGAUGUCUCAAGAUGGCGGAGCUCGGCGAAUUAAAGCACAUGGUGAUGAGUUUCCGGGUGUCUGAGCUCCAGGUGCUUCUUGGCUUUGCUGGCCGGAACAAGAGUGGACGGAAGCACGAGCUCCUGGCCAAGGCUCUGCACCUCUUGAAGUCCAGCUGUGCCCCUAGUGUCCAGAUGAAGAUCAAAGAGCUUUACCGACGACGCUUUCCCCGGAAGACCCUGGGGCCCUCUGAUCUCUCCCUUCUCUCUUUGCCCCCUGGCACCUCUCCUGUAGGCUCCCCUGGUCCUCUAGCUCCCAUUCCCCCAACCCUGUUGGCCCCUGGCACCCUGCUGGGCCCCAAGCGUGAGGUGGACAUGCACCCCCCUCUGCCCCAGCCUGUGCACCCUGAUGUCACCAUGAAACCAUUGCCCUUCUAUGAAGUCUAUGGGGAGCUCAUCCGGCCCACCACCCUUGGUAUGGCUCUUUGUGGUCCCUUAGUCUUCUGGACUCCCUACCUGUUCCCCAAACAUUUCUUAGGCUUUAGUCCUAUGGGAUCAGCGACCUGGGAUGGGGGCGAUUUCUGUGGCUGCCUGUGCAUGGGCUUGGAAUAACUGCCCCUUUGUAUCCUCAGCAUCCACUUCUAGCCAGCGGUUUGAGGAAGCGCACUUUACCUUUGCCCUCACACCCCAGCAAGUGCAGCAGAUUCUUACAUCCAGAGAGGUUCUGCCAGGAGCCAAAUGUGAUUAUACCAUACAGGUGCAGCUAAGGUUCUGUCUCUGUGAGACCAGCUGCCCCCAGGAAGAUUAUUUUCCCCCCAACCUCUUUGUCAAGGUCAAUGGGAAACUGUGCCCCCUGCCGGGUUACCUUCCCCCAACCAAGAAUGGUGCUGAGCCCAAGAGGCCCAGCCGCCCCAUCAACAUCACACCCCUGGCUCGACUCUCAGCCACUGUUCCCAACACCAUUGUGGUCAAUUGGUCAUCUGAGUUCGGACGGAAUUACUCCUUGUCUGUGUACC